GAGGGUAUAGCUCAGUGGUAGAGCGCAUGCAGGAGGUCCUGGGUUUAAUCCCAGUACCUAUA
rnacentral:tRNA from 1 species